rnacentral:rRNA from 1 species
CCUACGUGUGGCUGCAGUGGGGAAUAUUGGGCAAUGGGCGCAAGCCUGACCCAGCAACGCCGCGUGAAGGAAGACGGCUUUCGGGUUGUAAACUUCUUUUCUCAGGGACGAAGCAAGUGACGGUACCUGAGGAAUAAGCCACGGCUAACUACGUGCCAGCAGCCGCGGUCAUACGUAGGUUGCAAGCGUUAUCCGGAUUUACUGGGUGUAAAGGGCGUGUAGGCGGGACUGCAAGUCAGAUGUGAAAACCACGGGCUCAACCUGUGGCCUGCAUUUGAAACUGUAGGUCUUGAGUACUGGAGAGGCAGACGGAAUGCGUAGUGUAGCGGUGAAAUGCGUAGAUAUUAGGAGGAACACCAGUGGCGAAGGCGGUCUGGUGGACAGCAACUGACGCUGAGGCGCGAAAGCGUGGGGAGCAAACAGGAUUAGAUACCCCAGUAGUC